CAAGGAGGGCAAGGUCCAGGAUGACAAAGCAAGGGACAAGGGUGUUCGCAAUCUUGACCUCUAGUUUUACCACAGGGAUCACCGCAGGAAUGUGGUACCAAGUUUUUGACAAACUCAGGCUUCUCCUGUUUUCCGCACCAACAGAGAUAAUGAAGAGAAGUUUCCGUUUGAUUACUUUGACAAUAAGGACAACGCCAAGCGUCUUCAUUUCUUUGUUCGAUUGAGUUUUUACACCAUUUACGAAUACAAGAUAGAUGGAAAACAUGGUAGCAAGUACCACAGGACCAGAUCGAUGUAGAAGGGUUAAUGGUAUCGGUACAGACGCUACACUCAUAA